rnacentral:rRNA from 1 species
UACAGAGGUGGCAAGCGUUGUUCGGAAUUACUGGGCGUAAAGGGCGCGUAGGCGGCCUUCUAAGUCAGACGUGAAAUCCCCAGGCUUAACUUGGGAACUGCGUCUGAUACUGGGAGGCUUGAGUGCGGGAGAGGGAUGUGGAAUUCCAGGUGUAGCGGUGAAAUGCGUAGAUAUCAAGAGGAACACCUGCGGCGAAGGCGGGUUGCUGGGCCGACACUGACGCUGAGGCGCGAAAGCUAGGGGGAGCGAACGGG